rnacentral:rRNA from 1 species
AGCGAACGCUGGCGGCAGGCCUAACACAUGCAAGUCGAACGAACUCGCCGGAGUUAGUGGCGGACGGGGGUGGAACACGGGGGAAGGUGCCUGUUGGUUCGGAAUAACUCAGUGUAACUUGUGCUAAUACCGAAUGUGCUCUUCGGGGGAAAGAUUUAUCGCCAUUGGCUCGGCCCGGGUCUGAUUAGCUAGUUGGUGAGGUAACGGCUCACCAAGGCGACGAUCAGUAGCUGGUCGGAGAGGAUGCCCCGCCACACUGGGGCUGAGGCACGGCCCAGAAUGCUACGGGACGGAGCGGAGGGGAGUCUUGCGCAAUGGGCGAAAGUCUGGCACAGCCAUGCCGCGUAAAUGAUGAUGGUCUUAGGAUUGUAAAAUUCUUUCACCGGGGACGAUAAUGACGGUAACCGGAGAAGAAGCCCCGGCUAACUUCGUG